ACAUACUUUAGAGCCCAGUUCAUUAUAUUUAAUUAAUAUAAUUACUACCAAAUCCUAACAAGAUGCAUUUUUCAAACUUAAAUUUAUUAAUGUAACCCAUCUCUUCUAAUAAAAGCUGCACCUUGAUUUGAUCUAAGAUAAAAUUUUAUAUAAAGAAAAUUAGUAUUCUUAAGAAAUAUUCAUUCCAACAACGAUAUACAAGCAAUAAUAAAAGUUAAAUAAAUUGUGGAUUAUCAAUUACAGGACAGGUUCCUCUGGUAGGUUAAAGUACCGCCAAGAUUUUUAACUUUCAAGCACUUAACUGUUACUAAUUCGGCCUCAUCAAACUUCAAUCUCAAUAACAGGGUAUCUAAUCCUGGUUUAAAAACAAAAUCUUCCUAGAUCAUUCAGCAAAUUAAUCCAUAUAUUACAUUAAAAUUUCACCUCUCAAUACAAUUUUUUAGAUAUAUAAUUAAUUAACUAAGACCACAUAAAUUAAGUAACUCCUCUUGUAUAACCGCA
rnacentral:rRNA from 1 species